rnacentral:ribozyme from 13 species
CUUGAUUUUUCACAGGCCGUUUGUUGUUUGCAUGAUUGAUUCGUUCUUGUCUACUUCCUUUUCUAAUUUCUUCGUCAGUUUUUGUCUCAAUCGCACCAUUAGUUGUAUCAAAAAGAUUGGAAGAGCCAAAGAACGUUCUUUUUCUUGUUGUUUGUUGUGGUACUACUAAUGCAUGGUUGAGCUGGAACAAAAAAGUACAAGGAACAAUAGUUAUGAUUAUCCAACACUUCAUUUGAUAAAGGCACGCUGUU